UACAGAGGUCCCAAGCGUUGUUCGGAUUCACUGGGCGUAAAGGGUGCGUAGGCGGCAAGGAAAGUUUGAGGUGAAAUCUCCAAGCCUAACUUGGAAACUGCCUUGAAUACUUCCUUGCUCGAGGAUCGCAGAGGAGACUGGAAUUCUCGGUGUAGCAGUGAAAUGCGUAGAUAUCGAGAGGAACAUCAGUGGCGAAAGCGAGUCUCUGGGCGAUUUCUGACGCUGAGGCACGAAAGCCAGGGGAGCAAACGGG
rnacentral:rRNA from 1 species